CUUAAGGAGUAUGAAACUACAGGUACCCUGUCAGUGCCAUCGAGGAAGCUUCUUGUGAAGACUUGCAUUGGGGACUUGGUGGAGAGGUGUGGUUAUUACCCUCUUAGUGCAGAGAAGCUGACUGUAGCAAAAAGCAUCAUCACCACUUUUCCAUCCCUGAGUGUCCGAGUGGCAGGACAGGGGGAAGGAUUUGAGCAUUGUUAUGAUCCAGUCUCUCAUUGUGGAUUCCUAGAGACUAAACUGUGCAACCUUAGACGGAAUCUCGACCAGGGGCAGAGACGUUAUAAGAAGCGAAAAGUGACAGAUGACUGUGGUGAAGACAAGAAGCUCAGGAAAGAGGAUGGGAAUACCAGCAGCACAGAUGAGUGGGUCACCCUGAUCAAAAGAUUGCGGCCCUCAGCUGAGAACCUUCCAACUAUCAUGUCAGGCAUGGAGGAAACAUACACCAAUCGCAGAGCCUGGAUUAGCAAGGACUCCCCCACUGCUGCUGAAAUAUUCAGAGAGUACCCACAGUUUUUGGACAUGCCAAGUCUGCUGGACUCGGAGUUUGGCAAGCUUACAGGAGGAAGGACGGAUCUGUUUUUAUGAAAAUGGGAAGCCAGUAUCAUUCCGAAACUCAAAUCAGUAGCUGCCCUGGAAACAAGAAUGUCCUCUCUGUUGAAGGAUUUUGAAGAGAAGACUGAAGAUGAGGCUUGUUACACUGCCCUUGUGGUGUUAACACACCUGCUCCCACCAGUUGGUGCCAGUCGUUGCAGCCUUAAAUCAGCUAUAAUGCACUUGGUUGAUUUUGCACUGCCUGGAACAAGUAUUGCAUCGCUUUGCAGUGAUCCUGAAGCAUCAUCCACAACACACCAACCCCAGCUGAUAUGCAUUGGUGAUCUAAAGAGUGCAACCAGGCAGUACAUCAUUGUUGCUAAGAAUGACAAAGUAACCAUUCCUCUGAAUGAUGGCCUGACGUGUGCUGUGGAUAAGCUUUUCAAACUGUACUGGGUAUGUAACUUGUCCUAUCCAGCACCGCUUGGCUCCGUCUUCACCUUCUUUGAGUUUGUCUAUGACCUGCCGCUGUCCACCCAAAGGAAAACCAAAGUACUGGAGCUGAUUGCACAGAUUAAAGCAUGCAAGUAAAAUGUUCACCUGUCCAAAAUGUAGAGAGUCU